UACAGAGGCCUCGAGCGUUAAUCGGAGUCACUUGGGCUUAAAGGGUGCGUAGGCGGUUCCGUAAGUGUCUUGUGAAAUCCCAUGGCUCAACCAUGGAAUUGCUCGGCAUACUGCGGAACUUGAGGUCGGUAGAGGUCGCUGGAACUCUAGGUGGAGCGGUGAAAUGCGUAGAUAUCUAGAGGAACGCCAAAGGUGAAGACAGGCGACUGGGCCGAUUCUGACGCUGAGGCACGAAAGCGUGGGUAGCGAACGGGAUUAGAUACCCCGGUAGUCCACGCCCUAAACGAUGUGCACUAGAUCGUGGAGGCUCUGACGCCACCAUGGUCGAAGUUAAAAUGAUAAGUGCACCGCCUGGGGAGUACGGUCGCAAGGCUAAA
rnacentral:rRNA from 1 species